rnacentral:rRNA from 1 species
GAUGAACGCUGGCGGCGUGCUUAACACAUGCAAGUCGAACGGAAAGGCUCCUGCUUGCAGGGGUACUCGAGUGGCGAACGGGUGAGUAACACGUGGGUGAUCUGCCCUGCACUUCGGGAUAAGCCUGGGAAACUGGGUCUAAUACCGGAUAGGACGAUGGUUUGGAUGCCAUUGUGGAAAGUUUUUCGGUGUGGGAUGAGCUCGCGGCCUAUCAGCUUGUUGGUGGGGUAAUGGCCUACCAAGGCGUCGACGGGUAGCCGGCCGGAGGGGGGGUACGGCCACUUGGGGCCGAGGCUCGGCCCCGGCCCCUGCCGGGGGGCGCAGGGGGGAAAUUUGGCACAGGGGGCGCACCCCUGAUGGCGCGCCCCGGGGGGGGGGGUGCCGGCCUUGGGGUUGUAACCUCCUUCCGCGGGGACCGAACCGCAUGGGCCGGUCCGGGGAAAAGAACCCCCGCCUAACUCCGUG